UUGGCGUUGAGCUUUGUGGCGUGUGUAUUUUUAUCCGUCAAACAUGUUAAGAUCAACGAGACAAAAACAACUUUGGCCCGAAGCAAUGAGGACGGAAUCAGGGCAUGAAUCUGUUUCCUAACAUAUCCCAGUCUAUAACAUCAACGCAUGCAGAGUGUGUGUGUGAGUGUGUCUGAGUGUGUGUGCAGACGCUCCGCUGACUUCAUCAGGAUUCAGGGAAGGCUUCAAGGAGGAAUACAUUAUCAAACUGUGAUAGACUCUAAAGCCCUCUUCAUACAUAAUAAAUUAUUCAGAGCUCUGUAAACUAAACUCAAAGUCAAUGAUAAAUGCGAUCCAGUGGCCGCAGCGCUCCUCCACACUUCAUUAGGCCGGCAGGAGAGCAGCGAGGACUGAAAUAACAACAGAGCGAGGGAUGAAGGGUUUAGCUGGGAGAGGGAGGGAGGCGCGAGGAGGUGAGGCGGAGGAGGAGGAGGAGGAGGAGGAGCAGGGAGCACAGGGCUGCAGGAUUAGGAGAGUGACAAAGACAGACUUUAACAAUCCCUCUAAUAAGAAUUCCUGAGCUCUGUGUGCUUUUAAAAGCUCCUGUGAGGAGGUUUUCUCACUGUUUUGGAAAGUCAGUCUCAGUCUGUGUUUACGACACAAAGUCAAAUUACAGAGCAGCUCACUUUAAGACCUAAUGAAACUCAUUGACUAAAUGUUAACUCAGUCUGACUGCUCGUAAAUGCAAAGAGUCGAAAUUAAUGCACAGCAGUCUGAUCGCUCCAACGGGUGUCUUUCACAGAGAUCAGCUUUAUAAGAUGAAGGUGUGUGAAUCUCUGAUCCACUCCACAUACACACACAUUCAGAUACACAUGCAGAUACACACUCUUUUAACUUUCUUUGUCUUCCUCUGAGAGCUUCGCUUUGUGUCUGAGUGCAUUUCAGAAAACACUGUUCCCAGCAAGAGUUAAAACACACUUUCAAACUCAGCAUCCAUGGAAACUGUCCAGAUCUGCUCUCCCUGUUUUGAAGCUCUUCAGUUAUGAAUUCCAAAUUUUUCAUUUCAACACAUUUUGUAUCAACCACAUUAUUGGACCAGAAUCAGACCUGCAUCUAUAAACUUAAACAAAUCCUAGAAAAAAACUGUCGAUAUGAGCGUUUAAUGUGUCCGAUUUCACUUUGCAUGUUUUGAAGGGUCCCUUUAUCGCAAAAUCUGUGUGAGAAAUCAAACGUGGGCCAGGACACAGCGGACACUAGAGGGUAGCAGAGUGUCAGCACUGUACAGGCAACAUUAUUCCCAGUAUGUGGAGAAGUCUCACAUAGAAAACAAACAUAAUCAUUAAGCUUAAAUCUGGCUCUCACCAAAAGAUUUUAAAAAUCCAAACAGAUUUAGGAAACACCCACACAUGACGAGAAAUGAUGACAGAUUUAACAGAUUUGUUCCAAUAAUGUGUGGUGUGCAACAAUUUGGCAAACACAGCACAACACACACAUAAAACACUUUGCAUCAACAAUCAAAGUCCUGGCCGUCAGAUCUGGAUAAAUAUCAUCAAAUCUUUUGAGGCCAAAGUAGCUUUUCGAGUAGGAAACGUGGCGGACUACAAGCGCUCACCGUUGCUAGCCGCUAAGCUUUCUGGUACAUCUGCUGUAUUUUUAGCUCACUGAAGAAAUAAACUGUUAUUGUGUGAUUGUAAAGAUAAAAUGGUUUAUAGUAAACGCACAGCCAUUCACGUUUGCUGCAUUGUUCUGAACAGUUACCUGUUCACACCACAAGGUGGCAGUAAGCGUCUGUUGAUGCUUUUGGCUAAAGUUCUAAACAUUGUCAAAGUGUGCUGUAUGACAGAGAGAUCAUACUUGAGACCAUAACAGAGAGGUACAAGAGUAAAAAGCCAAGGCUCAUGUCAUGUGUUGUAAUAUGUAACACUCCAUAACUAUCAAGUAAAAUCACGUAAACAGCAAUGUCAUCAUUUCUUAUCACGUGUGGGCUUUCUGACGUUUUCAGACUCAGUUGGGAUUUUAAAAUCUUUGAGCGUGUCCCAGGCUCAAGUCUAUGUUCCAUGUUUACUAUUUUUUCCAUGACUGCAUCUGUUCUUCAUCCUUCUUCAGUCAGCUUGCUUUCGACUGGCUAAUGUUUUUUUGCACAUGACAAUGGACAGAGUGCAUGAUUGGAGGUCCACGGGGUUCCCCUACACUUUUACACAAUUAAUAUUUCCAAUUUCAGGGAGUCUCUGAUCAUCUUCCACCCAGAUCAGAAGGAAAAAGAAGUCACGUGACAAUAGAAAUUCUACAUUUAGAAAGGCUACUGAGUAGGACUUUGGAUUAACUUUGUAUAGGCCCUGGUACACCAAAGUUAGACUGCAUGAUUCUUUUGUCUUUAAUGCUGUUUAUUGUAUCAGAUUAGGCAACCAGAGAGCCAUAAACCCAUGCAGUGACUUGGCUUACAUACUGUAUGUAUUAGACUACAAGUAGGAAUCCGACCAAUCAGUGGGACAGAUAUGAUGCCAAUGGGAGAGAGUCUAAACCAGACAACACCAGGGGAAUGCAGUUUCUCACCAUUUUGCUGAAGUCUCUCAAAUAUUUCUCAUUUUCAGUCUGUCAUGGUUGUCCUUCAGUGAUGCAUGAUUGAGUCAGUGAUGUUGCUGGCGAAGCUUGAAAAUCUUUCCCUCUUACUCAUAGUUUCAUCUCGCUGCACCAACUUCAUCCUUCAUCUUCAUCAGUUGGGACUUGAGUGUGUGCAGAGUGCUCCGUGCUCUCAUUGGUAAACAUCACUGAUGUCAAGGAGCACAUCCCAGAGUACAGAAAGAAAAAUCAACAUGCUAAACUCUCUGUUGGGAGAUAGUGAGGCAUCCUUAAAAAAGUCGUUCACUGUGACCCACUGCACUGGACAAAAUGGUGGAUUUUUAAGGCUGAGAGGUCCCGACAGGUCUGCCGGAUCAGGUGAUGACUGUGCUGGACGUUGUGAGGCCUGACCUCAGCAAAAGAAUAGCUCGGAACUCAGUAAGGAUUUCAGCAAGGGUGGGAGGAGUGCUGACAUGGACUCGUAAAAGAAUACUUUUGGGGAGUCCUGGACCAAACAAACAUGUCCUCUGUUUAGGAGGAGGCGAGUCUGAAGAUCCAGGUGGAGAUUUACCAAUACCCCGAGCAGAGGUCUUUGAGGUGCUCUGGAAGCUCCUUAGUCACAGAACAUGCUUGAUGCUCUUGACACUGCUUAGCUGUCUUGGCUGAUAUGUCUCUCCAGGGUCGUGUGGAGGUUGGGGACAAUAUCUUUGGUGUGACACAGAUCAGAUGGUGGUCCCAAUUUUUAAAAAGGGAGACAGAAAGCUGCUCACACUCAGCCUCCCAGAUAAGUGUUACAUCUCAGAAUUAGGUUUUGCAGAUGAUGUGGUUCUGUUAGCUUCUACAGGCUGGAACCACCAGCAGACACCAGGGUGAUUUGCAGCUAAUCAGAAAAGAGAUUUAAUGAGAGUCAGUGAAUUCAAUUGUGAGGUUAUGUUUUUCUGCAAGUUAAGGAGACUAGUUUAGAAAACAUAGAUAGUUCAUAAAACAAAGACAUAUUUGUAGAACCUUUAAAAAGUAUCUUGCUCUCUGAAAAUACUUUGCUGCAAAAACUGAUUU
rnacentral:lncRNA from 1 species